CCGUACUCAGUUCGGAUUGUAGUCUGCAACUCGACUACAUGAAGCUGGAAUCGCUAGUAAUCGCGAAUCAGAAUGUCGCGGUGAAUACGUUCCCGGGUCUUGUACACACCGCCCGUCACACCAUGGGAGUCGGGAAUGCCCGAAGUCAGUGACCCAACCGGAAGGAGGGAGCUGCCGAAGGCAGGCUCGAUAACCGGGGUGAAGUCGUAACAAGGUACC
rnacentral:rRNA from 1 species